rnacentral:lncRNA from 1 species
AUGAAGGCAUCCACAUCAAAAUUGCAGAGACUGAUUUGGGGGGCACAUCUGAGCUGGUCAGAUGUUGGAAGUGGAGUGGAAGACAAGGAGGAAAGGAUCAUGGAGGCUUGCCAGCACUGCAGCAGCUACUACAUGAGUGCACAGCACUUGGUGUUGCUUCAGGUCUGUUUUCCUCUUUGCCUGUGGAAACCAUACAUGAGCCACAUAAAGCAACACGAGAGAGAAGGCAGCAAGCCAGCAGCUGCAGUGUCCCUGGCAUGUGUCCAGCAUUUCCACCCCAGACCAGACACCAUGGGAAGUCACUCAGGCCAGCUCUGCCUGAGGUGCUGUGCUGGAAGCAGGGGAGGGUGUCAAGCAGAAAGGGCUGAUGGUGACUGGCAUCAGAGCAGCUGUGACAUGAAGGAGUUUUGCACAUGCCUGCAUGCAUACAAACAUCCAGAAAAUCCUGCAGGAAUUACUGACAGGUAA